CAAAAUAAGCUGCAUAAACUCAGAGAUUUUGUUUUGUUGGUAGAAAGCUGUUGAAAAAAAUCGCAUGCAUCUGAAAGAGGUGCAGAAGAUUUGUAAAUGUCUUGAUUUCGGAACGAAAGAAUAAAGAAGAUCUCUGUGAGUGCUCAUUACUGAGUCAUAUGCAGGAUUUGGAGACUUGAUUUAUGUUUUAUGAUAUGAUGGGAAUGACCGACUGACAAUGAUGGUCAACACAACAUAAGGUGGAUGAGAUGGAAACAGUGGGUGGAGCUGAUCCGCAUCUCAUCCAUUUCUUGAGUUUUCCCCAGAAACACAGAAGAGGGACCGAAAGGAUGAUCACUUUAAAGCAAAACUAAACCGUGGCACAGUCAAAAAGUAAAAAUAGCUCAAGUUGUUGUUUCAUCUUUAUCUGCAGUGCUGCUAAAUAUAGAAUCAGCAAAGAGUGGAGACAUCAUUGCUUUCGCUCUGGGUUUGCAUUGUGUUACCUGUAAUUGAUCAUAUUUCUCAAGAAAAAUAAUUAAAACUGCCUUAUCCCCUUCUUUCAUGACUGAAGGAAACAAAUGACAUAAACGUAAUAUACACAAAAGUUUGACUUUUCACUUUCUCUAACUUUUCUAGCAUUUUUUAAAAUAUAUAUUUAGUUGAUUUAUGACAAGUUAUACCAUUUGCACUGUAUUAUACUUAUAACAGAAUGUAAUUAAUAACACAAUAAGAUCUUGACACUCAGACAGUAACAUGGUUUGCUAAAGGACAAAUGAGUCUUUACCACAAGUGUUCUGUCAUCAUGAUAUUUUUACUGUUGUUAAAUCUUUUUUGAGAUCUUUAUGGAUUACUAGAUCUUUCUUAAGAUUAAAACUGCACUUCAUAUUUUC